rnacentral:rRNA from 1 species
UACGGAGGGUGCUAGCGUUGUUCGGAAUCACUGGGCGUAAAGCGCGUGUAGGCGGCCCACUAAGUCUGAUGUGAAAGCCCGGGGCUCACCCCCGGAAGCGCAUUGGAAACUGGUGGACUCGAGUCCCGGAGAGGAGGGUGGAAUUCCUGGUGUAGCGGUGAAAUGCGUAGAUAUCAGGAGGAACACCGGUGGCGAAGGCGGCCCUCUGGACGGUGACUGACGCUGAGACGCGAAAGCGUGGGGAGCAAACAGG